rnacentral:rRNA from 1 species
GACGAACGCUGGCGGCGUGCUUAACACAUGCAAGUCGAGCGAGGGGCAUCCUUCGGGAUGUCACCUAGCGGCGAACGGGUGAGUAACACGUGGGCAACCUGCCCUCAGCUCUGGGAUAACCCCCGGAACGGGAGCUAAUACCGGAUAUGACCUCUUUGGACAUCCUUCGAGGUGGAAAGAAUUUCGGCUGAGGAUGGGCCCGCGGCCUAUCAGCUUGUUGGUGGGGUAAUGGCCACCAAGGCGACGACGGGUAGCCGGCCUGAGAGGGCGACCGGCCACACUGGGACUGAGACACGGCCCAGACUCCUACGGGAGGGCAGCAGUGGGGAAUAUUGCGCAAAUGGGCGGAAAGACCUGACGCAGCGACGCCGCGUGA